GUCUUUGUAGUUUAAACAAAAUAUUAGUCUUGUAAACUAAAGUAGGUCUUCCCGAAGACA
rnacentral:tRNA from 1 species